rnacentral:rRNA from 1 species
GACGAAGGGGGGCUAGCGUUGUUCGGAAUUACUGGGCGUAAAGCGAGUGUAGGUGGUUGUCCAAGUUGGAUGUGAAAGCCUUGAGCUCAACUCAAGAAAUGCAUUCAGGACUGGGCGGCUAGAGGACCGGAGAGGAUAGUGGAAUUCCCAGUGUAGUGGUGAAAUACGUAGAGAUUGGGAAGAACACCAGUGGCGAAGGCGGCUAUCUGGACGGUUUCUGACACUAAGACUCGAAAGCGUGGGGAGCAAACAGG